AGCAGGGAGCAUCCACACCAAAAAAGAAUGAGCCGGCGGCGCCAGGAAUAGCGCGGCCGGCAAAC
rfam:Serratia marcescens subsp. marcescens Db11, complete genome